UUCAAUGUGCUGGCUCUGCUCGGAUUUCUACGGGCUUUAAAGAAUCCCCUUCGUGGAAGGUGGACCCGAUUCCAGUCGCCGCCUCUCCGAAUAGAGGAGAAACUGCCUUGCCACAGACCAGAGCGCAGAGCACCGUGUGAAAAGCCUGAACAUCUUCGCCUAGGCUUGCAGGAGCACUGAGCUAUUUUACUUUUGCUUGUAGCUGGUGAUAGGCUGCUCUUGCCCUUUGGAAGCAGACUGCGCAACGCCUCCCAUCAUAGGCCCUGUUGGCAGUGGCUUGCAAUCCUGCUAACCUGUUUUGGGAUCAUUUUUCCUUGUGGCAGGUGCCUCCCUAGCUCCGCAGUUCUGGGAGAGCUAAACCAUCCCAUACAGACAAAAAGGCUGCAUGAGCACCAGGCGCAAAAGGGGAGUAGGUGCCGAAAUCUCAUCCUCUCCCCAGCUGGACCCUUCUUUGGAAGUACAGAAGCCUCGAUCAAGGGACUGAAAACACUGGUUUCUAAUAGGAAGGACCGCCAGCAUCUCUCGUGCAAGACGAGGCUGGCCCUAGCAGCACGCCGUGGCACGGAGAUCCCCUCUCAGUGAAACUCCUCCUCCCCUUGGCAGCGUCAUAGCAGAACCUGUCGAACCAGCUGUGCAGCAGGAUUAAAAUGCACACGAGCCCUCUCUCCAUUUUGCAAUCUCUGCUGCCCUCGUGUGCAGUGAAGCAGUAAUGAAACCUUGUCCAAAUUCAGUCGGAUGCACUGAGUAAGACGCCUUUCCUGUCUGUUUUUUGGUGCAGGCCUUGGCCGGUUCUCCGGGCUCUGAUGUCCCCCUCUCAGAGGCAAAGCUGCAGAUUUGGCCAAUUGUACAGGAGAAGCAGAGAGAAGCUGCCCUCCAUCUUAUCACGUUCUCAAGCUCCAGGCAGUGCGCGCAAUAUGGCACAGUAUGCGAAACACUCCCCAUUGUCUCUUCUCUAACUACCUCCCUCGCCUUUGUGGUUUAGCUUGUGGACAGCCCUUCUUGCUGUGCACUUCCCUGUUGCCAACUCCCGUGAAAAAAUGUGCAUCCUUGUGCAGUACUGCAAGUAAAUGCUGUGGCUGUUGCAAAGACCACAGAGAUCCUGUUGUAUAUAAUGGCCAAUAAAAUUUA